rnacentral:rRNA from 1 species
CCUACGGGUGGCAGCAGUGGGGAAUAUUGCACAAUGGGCGAAAGCCUGAUGCAGCAACGCCGCGUGAAGGAAGAAGGGUUUCGGCUCGUAAACUUCUAUCAACAGGGACGAAAGAAAUUACGGUACCUGAAUAAGAAGCCCCGGCUAACUUCGCGCCAGCAGCCGCGGUAAUCGGAGGGGGCAAGCGUUAAUCGGAAGUAAGGGGUGUAAAGGGUGAGUAGGAGGGCUGGUAAGCCCGAUGGGAAAGCCUUGGGCGUAACCCGAGGAUUGCAUUUGAAACUAUCAAGCUAGAGUACAGGAGAGGAAAGCGGAAUUCCUAGUGUAGCGGUGAAAUGCGUAGAUAUUAGGAAGAACACCAGUGGCGAAGGCGGCUUUCUGGACUGAAACUGACGCUGAGGCACGAAAGCGUGGGGAGCGAACAGGAUUAGAUACCCCAGUAGUC